rnacentral:rRNA from 1 species
UACGUAGGGGGCAAGCGUUGUCCGGAAUCAUUGGGCGUAAAGAGCGUGUAGGCGGCUCGAUAAGUCUGCUGUGAAAGUCCAGGGCUCAACCCUGGAAGGCCGGUGGAAACUGUCGGGCUAGAAUCCGGAAGAGGCGAGUGGAAUUCCCGGUGUAGCGGUGAAAUGCGCAGAUAUCGGGAGGAACACCAAUGGCGAAGGCAGCUCGCUGGGACGGUAUUGACGCUGAGACGCGAAAGCGUGGGGGAGCAAACAGGG